GUACAUAUUAUAACGGAAUCUUGGGAGAUUCAUUAUGGGUAAUUUCACAAAGCAACCAUGAAAUAGCCAGAUAAAACAAUUAAGUUAUUCAUCAACUCAUCAUGUCUGACAAAGCUUAUUUUCAUUUAAAUGGCUUUGGCAAUAAGCAAUACUGUCAUUUCUGGGGUACAGAAAAUCCAUGGAUACUUCAUCAGCACCAAUUGCACCCUACCAAAUGCACUGUCUGGUGCAGGGUGGACUUGCAGGAAAUUAUCGGGCAGAAAUGUAAAUGCUAAAGCCUAAAAAGAGUAAAUGAGCAAUGCAAUCAAAAGAGCCCAACUUUGCAAGGUGGCAAAUGGAGUUCAUUUAAGAUGUCAUCUCCCGUACCUAGUCAAACAUAUCUCCACACGUUAAGCAUUUAUUGUAUGUAUUAUUGAAAUUGGUUAAUUAAUUAAAAAAAGCUAUUGACUUCUCAAACCCCACUCUGAAUUUUGUCCCACCCUGUAUAAAGAUUAAUGCAUUAUGUCUAAGCUGUGCUCCCAGCUCCCAGUCCCUAAGGAUCAACCGACACGCAUUGGGGGUAUUCGUCAAACAUUUUAGAAUGAUUUUCCAACUUAC